AACGAACGCUGGCGGCAUGCUUAACACAUGCAAGUCGAACGAGACCUUCGGGUCUAGUGGCGCACGGGUGCGUAACGCGUGGGAAUCUGCGCUUUGCUACGGAAUAACUCAGAGGAAUUUGUGCUAAUACCGUAUAAUGUCGAAAGUCCAAAGAUUUAUCGGCAAAGGAUGAGCCCGCGUAGGAUUAGCUAGUUGGUGAGGUAAAGGCUCACCAAGGCGACGAUCCUUAGCUGGUCUGAGAGGAUGAUCCGCCACACUGGGACUGAGAUACGGCCCAGACUCCUACGGGAGGCAGCAGUGGGGAAUAUUGGACAAUGGGCGAAAGCCUGAUCCAGCAAUGCCGCGUGAGUGAUGAAGGCCUUAGGGUUGUAAAGCUCUUUUACCAGGGAUGAUAAUGACAGUACCUGGAGAAUAAGCUCCGGCUAACUCCGUGCCAGCAGCCGCGGUAACAC
rnacentral:rRNA from 1 species